rnacentral:rRNA from 1 species
UGGGGAAUUUUGGACAAUGGGCGAAAGCCUGAUCCAGCAAUGCCGCGUGUGUGAAGAAGGCCUUCGGGUUGUAAAGCACUUUUGUCCGGAAAGAAAUCCUUGGCUCUAAUACAGUCGGGGGAUGACGGUACCGGAAGAAUAAGCACCGGCUAACUACGUGCCAGCAGCCGCGGUAAUACGUAGGGUGCAAGCGUUAAUCGGAAUUACUGGGCGUAAAGCGUGCGCAGGCGGUUUGCUAAGACCGAUGUGAAAUCCCCGGGCCCAACCUGGGAACUGCAUUGGUGACUGGCAGGCUAGAGUAUGGCAGAGGGGGGUAGAAUUCCACGUGUAGCAGUGAAAUGCGUAGAGAUGUGGAGGAAUACCGAUGGCGAAGGCAGCCCCCUGGGCCAAUACUGACGC